rnacentral:pre_miRNA from 1 species
UCUUAUGGGUGAACAAAGAAAGUGGUUUCUUGAGGUGGAAUAUACUCAUUGUGAACAUGCUGUGAA